CCAGUGGCGCAGCAGAUCCAUGCUGGCGAAAGUCCUUCUCGGCUUCAAUGCGCCAUCGCUGCUCCGCAGUCGUUCUACGCCAAUCCAUCUCCCGUCCCCAACCCGGGAGAUGUUGCCGCAACAUCUAUCCCUCCAGAUUCUGUCGGAGGAGACGGAAUCCUUGGAGCCUGGCCUACAAUCGGAGGAGCCGCAUAAUCGGAGAGCAGGACCCGUCACCGCGCUGGUGGAUGGGACGUGAGGCAUCUACCAACGCUGGAGAUGCUACUCAUGGCAUUGAUGUCGGUGGAGGUCAGACAAAUGUUCGAGAUGAAGCUGAAUCUAGAGCAUUUCUUGCUAGCCAGGAUGUUUCGGUGCAAGAAGGUAUUGGAAUUGAUAGCAUGGAUAUGGGAAAUGAGGCAGUGGCGCCAGCCUUCAAGGCGCCAAGGGCGCCAUGAAAGCCCUAGGAUGGAACUACCAUGGUAUGGGCAAGAACCUUGGUAGUGACAAAAUGAGCUAUCUUGCCAGAACGGUCUACUCAACGAAACCUCAGUUCUCUCUCGACGUCGCUCGGGUGGGCUUUGGCUUAUGUGGAGUGAUGACCUGCAAGUCCAUGUUCAUAGUUCUAGUUUUCAUGUUAUCUUAGCUACGAUUACUAUUAGUACUACUAGUCAAGAGUUUGGGCUUAUUUGUAUAUAUGGUGAUCCUUACCAUCGCCAAACUAGUAUGAUAUGGGAUCAAGUGGGAGCUUUUGUGUAUGAUAACUAUAAUCUGCUGAUGCUUUGUAUGGGUGCAUGAAUGAGAUUUUGUAUGAUAUGGAUAAAAACUCUCCGAAUAUUAAUAGUGCUCGCAUGAAUGCUUUUCGUACCAUUGUUAA